rnacentral:lncRNA from 1 species
UACAAAGCACGUGAUUUUUAUGACUACAUAUUGUUAUUGUUAGCGCUAGCGCGGAUAUAUUCAAAGUGACACGUCUAAAAAGGUUGUGUCUUUGUGGCAGAGAUAAAGUGGUGUAUAUAAGAUCAUAGAUGGGUCCACGUGGUUUCAGAUUUCUACUGUAGGGUAAAAAGGUUGUGUUCAAGUGACAAAGUUCAAGAUCAAAGAAACAGAUCACGGGUGGAUGUGUUUUUCAAAUAUGGAAUAUUAAAUCUGUGUUUUAGUGGCAAAGAUCAAGCACAACAUACAGAUCAUGGACAAAGGUGUUGUUAGAUCUGGAGCACAAACGGGUUACCAUGGAAACAUACAUCUAGGCAGUGGUAUAGAUGGAUGACCGACGUCUAGAUCUGCAAAGUUAUACAGCAUAUUUUGGAGAAUACAUGGUAUGAAGUUUACUUUUAAUUUUUUGUAACACUAUAAUACAUUUGUUUCUGUCUUUACACAUGCCUUUCUGUAUCUUAUGCAUUCAACAGGGUUACCACGGAAACGUAUAUAUACCUAAAGGCAAUGAUAUAAACGGAAUGCAGACGUUCAGAUAGACAAAGUUUUACAGCAGAUGAAGCAUGUAAGGUGUGUAUGUUUACUUUUUCUUCGUUUUGGCAACAUUGUUAUGUUUGUUUUUUUUACACAUGCCUGUCUGUAUCUUAUACAAACAACAGGUUUAGCAUGGAAACGCAUGUCCACAUCAAUGCAAUGGUAUAGAUGGAUAACCGACGUUCAGAUGUACUAAGUUAUACAGCAAAUUUUGGAACAUAAAGGGUUUGUAUAUUUACUUUUCUUUUGAUGCGUAAUUUGUAUAAAGGCAAUACUAAGAUUAUAUAUGUUUGUUUCUGUUCUUACACAUGCAUUUCUCUAUCUAUACACUAAACAGGGUUACCAUGGAAACGUACCUCUUCAUCUAGGCAGUGGUAUAAACUGAGGACCGGCGUUCAAGUCCCUGGCAAAGAGAGAAAUCCAGCUGUCGAUCAAGCGCUACAGGUUUAGCUUUAAAUAAUCUAAGCCUUGCUAAGACCUGAAAAUAAAUGUCAGGCAAAACUGAAACAAAAGCAAAAUAACUGGAUGCACUUAAAGAGCACCUAAUCUAUCUUGUAUAUUUUCGCUUCGUAAUACUGUAUGUUUAGUGUAUGCUGUUUUGUCAGGGAUCUGUUUGCAGUGGCUACUUGGUUGUUUUUGUGGUGGUGUUUGUUGUGGUGUUUUUGUGUAUAUGGAGGUGUCUGUGGUGGUUUCAAUGUGGUUUUCUCGGUUUUAUUCUUGAUGGUUGUAUUGUUUUGUUGAAAACGGGCAUUUGGUGCGUUUUGUUUGUUGUAUUGGGCUGUUCGUCAUGGUGGUUUUUCUUCCUGCCAUUACCAACGUAUUAUUACUCGCUUUGAAUACUGUAGAAAAUUGUUAGAAUAAGUUCAGUAUUACAUUGUGUUAUAACUUUACUUGUCCAGCAAAUUUUAGAUACACGGAAACACAUAUGAAGAUAUAUGCGGACGAAUAGGCAUCAUGUGCAGACGAAGGCUUGGACUGGGAAGCGUGCGCCGUUGUUUUAUUUCUGCUUUUUAUUCCUUUUGUUUUGCAUUGCUUUUCCACUAGACUAUUGGGGCACGUGAAGAACGAAGACGCAGACGGAUACUGAAGAUGCAUACCAGACACAAUUUGGGUUACUGUUUAUCGUGAACAGGAAGCAGAGGUCAAUUGUCCACUUGGAGUAAUUCAAUAGCAUGGCAAUGUGGACACCGAUCCUGGUUUUGGUAAAAGAAGUACUCGAAAUAUCCGACGAAAAGCAAUUUCUUGGAUUAUACACGAAGAAAAUGUUAGUUAAUGGAACAAUAGCAGCAGUAGAACUACCUUGCUGGUACCCAAACGAAGCCGGUCAUCAGAUGUGCAUUGAAACCCUAUCAAACCCUUGCGUUACCAUGGUAAUCAGCCGUUAUCAACAAGGCAAGGUAGUGCAUGGAUAUAGUGGAAUUCAAGCCUUGGUGGACCUUUCUUCUGUAUUUGUCCAGUCUUGUUGAUGGUAGACAGCUGUUCUAUACAUCGUACACAACAGAGAAACCCCCUCGGACGAAGAAUUCGUUCAGAUCUAAAAGGCAAGAAGACAGUUUUUGCCAUUAUUGAAAGACAUAGGGAAAAAAAGCAAUGACAGAAAACAAAUAUCACCAUACCGUCUUGUCUUGAAUGUUUCCAACAGCUGACAGACCGAUGUAAGCCAGAUUCACAAGCAAGAAGUAUCUGCAGAAGGAAGAACCAAUUAUAGUAGAUCCACGACAGUCCUUGCACAAGCUUUGUUGAGAUUAGAUAUAAACUAACAUGUAUAUAAUUAUACAUUCAUGUACAAAGUACACGGGAUUAUAUUGGAGUCACACAUGUCAGUGAGUCCGUUCGUCCGUUCGCCUAUCUGUCAAUCAUGUCCGCUGGGAAGAUUUAAAAAAAUGGCUUCAUUUAUUAGCCUCAACAAGAAUGUUCGUUGUGCACAACCCAAGUUACUAGGCCCAAGGUCAGUAUUACUCUUGGAGGAAAAAAAUCAAAUAACUUUAAUUUAGUGUCCGCUCCAUAUUGUCUUAACUGCAACGACUAUUUAGGUCAAGCAUUCGUUAUUGUACUCGCCCUGCCUUCAGGGUCACUGUAACCGUUGCAUUCAGGUUAAACUUUUAUAUGAUUCUCAAAAUCACUAUAUUUUCUUAACUACUCCCCAUAUUAGCACCAAACUUCACAUUUGUUGAUUGUGGUAAAACGCAGACAUUUAUUUGUUAGGGGUCAAGCAUCCAAAAGGUCAAAGUUACUUGGGUCAUAUUUUGUAAUUGUGCUGGUUAAAUCUUAGAUUGUUUCUUAUAUCUUCUCAUUUACCCGCCCCUACCCCCUACUCUACCCCCAAAAGGAAAAGAGUCUUAUUCAUCACUCACGCUUACUUAUAUCCUAUAGCAAUAAAUAGUGGUCAGCAUUUCCGAAUAGUCACGCGGACUUUCCUUACAAUAGUUCUUGAUAUAAAAUUAGGAUUAGUAAAUAGAUGUAAGCACUCACAACCUAGUUCAUUCGGUCAAAGGUCAAGUUCUGACUUAAAAGACCGCACCAUAUUGUCUAAUCUAAUAAAGUAAGCACUAACUGUCAAUUCCAUCUAGCCACUAGGUUAAAGGUCAGUGUGACACAUAUAGGUCAAAGGUCAAAUAGCUUUGUGUCUACUACAUAUCUUGUAACCCCAUUUUCCAUACACUCAUAAAACUAGCAAUAAAUAUCAAGAAGACCUGUAUAGAACCCAGAUUAUUAGAUCCAAGGUCAAGGUUACACUUGAAUGUCAAAAUGAUGGCAACAUUGACUUACCCUGCAUCAAAGCAGCGUCUGGGGGUAACAAUCGCUCUAGUUUAUCAUUUUUAGCGGACUAAAUUUGUUAUUUUAUCAACCAUUUGACAAAUAUUUCCUGAACUUCAGGAUAAAUAUUUAAAACAAAAAUCAGGAAAUUGUUUGUUUUUUUUAACACUGAUACAGUCGGACUAUUUUUAGACACAGCGAAUAUUUUAGCUUGAUUUGUUGUCAGUCAUGAUUUUAUGCAAGGUAUUUUUCUAAAUGAUAUUUUUAUUACAAUUACAAAAUGUAGCACAUUUGACAUUAAUGUAAAAAGCAGGGACAGCGAAUUGUGUAAGAAAAAAAAAUGUAGUUGGUUAAAUAUUUCAAAAAGUGUCUCAUAUUUUUGCUCUUUUGGACAGUUGCGUUUUAACUGGUCGGGGAUUGUUUCAAAAAUAAAUACAAUGUAUGCGUAGUUAGUUGAUGUAUAAAAAGCUACUUUUUGCAACUUGUACAUUUUGGAGUGGGGGCUAAAUUCCAAACCCUCAUAUAGUUUAAAACAUAUAGAGGACAUUCCUUUGCUUCAGUGUAAGCUCGAAACAGAAACAUUCUAGUGUUCACACGUGAAAAUUUUUAAAAAGUAAUCAAACGGAUUUUAUUCUAAUGCAUUUUAUUAUUAUUUUUACUUUAUAUUUUCUGCCAACGUAACGCCAUACGCUAUGUGCAACGUUACUCUAUAUUUUAUGGCAAUACUUAUGUUGGGAAAAAGUGACAUAGUGACAUUUCAAUCUACAUGUAGUUAUGUUUUAGUUAAAAAGAUAUCCGAUUCUACGUUAUUCAUAUUCUUGCGUUAAACUGUGGUUGCAUACAAGUGAAAAUUGUAUUUGGAUUUCUCACCUUUUAAGAGCGGCUUUAUCAGGGUAUAAUAAAUCGUCGUUUUCUUGAAAUCUUCUCAAAAUAUGGUAUAUAAUUCCAUAUGCUAGUAACUGCAGAAUGUACCGAUACGACCUUAAUUCUUUUAUUCAAAUCCGCAUUCUAGUCCUUUGUCUGGGCCAUUUUAAUGUUGCUUUUAAAAGUCAUUUUGGCCUCAUUUUUGUACACUGAAUUUUACACACUGUUGGCAUAACUUUUAACCAACACCUAACUCUGAGCACUAACCUUAACCAUUCGGGGCUGAAGUGACUGUUAAAGCAACUUUGUCUUUUAUGGGAACAAGACUAGCAUAUCUUUAUAAAUGAUGGGUGAAAAUUGUUGGCAAACUUUCAGGGUUUUAGUCUACGCUUUUAAUGAAGUGCUGUAAUAAAACGUUAGAUUAUAACAUGAUAAAUUCAUUGUUUUAAACAGAGAGAAAUAUGAUGUUCACUAGAACGGAACUACAUUUGAACGCGGAAGGAUAUGAAUUGUAAGGACGCGAAAUAUGCUUAAAAGCAACAAAGCUGUAUAGUAA